rnacentral:tRNA from 1 species
CACGACGUGCCCGAGCAGCCAAGGGACCAGCCUGCAAAGCUGAGGGUCGCGGGUGCAAGUCCCGCCGUCGUGUCCA